AUUGAACGCUGGCGGCAUGCCUUACACAUGCAAGUCGAACGGUAACGGGCCUUCGGGUGCCGACGAGUGGCGAACGGGUGAGUAAUGCAUCGGAACGUACCUUUCAGUGGGGGAUAACGUAGCGAAAGUUACGAUAACACCGCAUAGUCUGUGAGGAGGAAAGCAGGGGAUCGCAAGACCUUGCGCUGAUUGAGCGGCCGGUGUAAGAUUAGCUAGUUGGUGAGGUAAAGGCUCACCAAGGCGACGAUCUGUAGCGGGUCUGAGAGGAUGAUCCGCCACACUGGAACUGAGACACGGUCCAGACUCCUACGGGAGGCAGCAGUGGGGAAUUUUGGACAAUGGGGGCAACCCUGAUCCAGCCAUGCCGCGUGAGUGAAGAAGGCCUUCGGGUUGUAAAGCUCUUUCGGCCGGGAAGAAAUCGCACGGGCUAAUACCCUGUGUGGAUGACGGUACCGGAAUAAGAAGCACCGGCUAACUACGUGCCAGCCGCCGCCGUAAAAC
rnacentral:rRNA from 1 species